UACGGAGGGGGCAAGCGUUAUUCGGAAUUAUUGGGCGUAAAGAGCUUGUAGGCGGUCUGUCGCGUCUGCUGUGAAAAUCCGGGGCUCAACCCCGGACUUGCAGUGGGUACGGGCAGACUAGAGUGUGGUAGGGGAGACUGGAAUUCCUGGUGUAGCGGUGAAAUGCGCAGAUAUCAGGAGGAACACCGAUGGCGAAGGCAGGUCUCUGGGCCACUACUGACGCUGAGAAGCGAAAGCAUGGGGAGCGAACAGG
rnacentral:rRNA from 1 species